rnacentral:rRNA from 1 species
GACGAACGCUGGCGGCGUGCUUAACACAUGCAAGUCGAACGGAAAGGCCUCUUUCGGGGGGUACUCGAGUGGCGAACGGGUGAGUAACACGUGAGUAACCUGCCCUUGACUUUGGGAUAACUUCAGGAAACUGGGGCUAAUACCGGAUAGGAGCUCCUGCUGCAUGGUGGGGGUUGGAAAGUUUCGGCGGUUGGGGAUGGACUCGCGGCUUAUCAGCUUGUUGGUGGGGUAGUGGCUUACCAAGGCUUUGACGGGUAGCCGGCCUGGGAGGGUGACCGGCCACAUUGGGACUGAGAUACGGCCCAGACUCCGACGGGAGGCAGCAGUGGGGAAGAUUGCACAAUGGGUGGAAGCCUGAUGCAGCAACGCCGUGUGCGGGAGGACGGCCUUCGGGUUGUAAACCGCUUUCGCUCAUGACGAAGCUUUGUGUGACGGUAGUGGGUAAAGAAGCACCGGCUAACUACGUG